UACGUAGGAGGCGAGCGUUGUCCGGAUUUACUGGGCGUAAAGAGCGCGCAGGCGGUCGUUCAAGUCGAGUGUGAAAGCCCCCGGCUCAACUGGGGAGGGUCAUUCGAUACUGAUCGACUCGAAGGCAGGAGAGGGAAGUGGAAUUCCCGGUGUAGCGGUGAAAUGCGCAGAUAUCGGGAGGAACACCGGUGGCGAAGGCGGUUCUCUGGGCCUUACCUGACGCUGAGACGCGAAAGCGUGGGGAGCGAACCGG
rnacentral:rRNA from 1 species